rnacentral:rRNA from 1 species
GACGUAGGGCGCGAGCGUUGUCCGGAUUUAUUGGGCGUAAUGAGCUCGUGGGCGGCUUGUCGCGUCGUCCGUGAAAACCUGCGGCUCAACUGCAGGCUGGCGGUCGAUACGGGCAGGCUGGAGUUCGGUAGGGGAGACUGGAAUUCCUGGUGUAGCGGUGAAAUGCGCAGAUAUCAGGAGGAACACCGGUGGCGAAGGCGGGUCUCUGGGCCGAUACUGACGCUGAGGAGCGAAAGCGUGGGGAGCGAACAGG